UGCCGGGGCGGUGGGGAGGGGCUGAGCCCUUUGCUUCCAGCCGGGCGGUGCGGGGGCUGCCGGGGCCGGUGUCCUCCCCCGCUGCCGGCCCGCGCACACGGUCCCGACCAGGGUCGGGCACCCCCGAGACCUGCCCCGUCCGGCCCUCCGGGGGUGGAGGAGGGUUUUCCCGUUCGGGGGCUGGUCAGCGUUUGCUAGAAGGGAGCCGUGGCCUUUCUCCACAGAGUUGUGCAAACCCAGUGCUGACGGUCCCAGACAUUAUUUUUGCUUAAUUUGCACUAUUAAUAGCCACGGAGAAGUGAAAAACGCCAAUGACAAAGCCCGUGGCCGCAGAUUCCUGUUUCCCAGCCAGAAGCGGGUAGUUUGGAGUAACCCAUCCCUGACGUAGCCCUCCCUCCCUGGGACGAGCCCCAAGUUGCCGGGAGUUUCCGAGCUGGCAGCGAGCGCUAUAAGAGCGGGACCCAGGUAUGGGUAAGGGCAGAAGCCCUGGAGCCUGCCUGCACUCCUGCCUGCACUCCUGCCUGCACUGAGGCCAUGCUGCCAGCCACGAGGAUCCGUCUUUCCCUUCCUAAAGCAGACAUGAAACGUGGGCUUGUUGUCCACUUGGUCUGCUUCCAUGGGUAGAGCCCACAGUCCAGCUGGGAGAUCCAGGAUCGAGACCUCGCUGACGCUUCACCUCUCUCCCCAUUGCACCGUUUCCCCCAACCCACCGGAGGAAGCCCCAGCAUGCAGGUGGAGGCCCAGCCGCUAGCCUUGCUUGGAAGGAAACAGGAGAGAGAUGGCCAGGAGGUUGGUGAGAGUCAGCAGCAACGUUAUCCGCUUCCCAGCUGGGGUGCGACACUUCUGCCAGGAAGGAAGAGGAACUGUGCUCCUCCACUUCUCAGCGUAGUGUUUCAUGGUUGGGAGGUACCAAAUAACUCCCGUAAAACACUGUCCCGGGUAUGCUCUGCUUCACACUGCCGAUGGGACAGGAACUUUGGUAUUUCUGUAAAAUCCUUACUGUCUGUCUUGUCUAAAAUAACAAAAUAAACAAUGCCAAGUCUA